GUCUACGGCCACGCCACCCUGAAUGUGCCCGACUUCGUCUGAUCUUGGAAGCUAAGCAGGGCCGAGCCUGGUUAGUACUUGGAUGGGAGACCACCUAGGAAGACCAGAUGUUGUAGGUG
rnacentral:rRNA from 1 species